rnacentral:rRNA from 1 species
AGUGAACGCUGGCGGUAGGCCUAACACAUGCAAGUCGAACGGCAGCACAGGAGAGCUUGCUCUCUAGGUGGCGAGUGGCGGACGGGUGAGGAAUACAUCGGAAUCUGCCCAGUCGUGGGGGAUAACGUAGGGAAACUUACGCUAAUACCGCAUACGACCUUGGGUGAAAGAGGGGGAUCGCAAGACCUCUCGCGAUUGGAUGAGCCGAUGUCGGAUUAGCUAGUUAGCGGGGUAAUGGCCCACCAAGGCGACGAUCCGUAGCUGGUCUGAGAGGAUGAUCAGCCACACUGGAACUGAGACACGGUCCAGACUCCUACGGGAGGCAGCAGUGGGGAAUAUUGGACAAUGGGCGCAAGCCUGAUCCAGCCAUACCGCGUGGGUGAAGAAGGCCUUCGGGUUGUAAAGCCCUUUUGUUGGGAAAGAAAUCUUUCAGGCUAAUACCCUGGGAGGAUGACGGUACCCAAAGAAUAAGCACCGGCUAACUUCGUG